GGCUAAACUAUCUAAUAUUGAAAUUAAACCUUGUGACAAAUAUCUAGAAUGUAGAGUUUGUGCAGAAACCAAGGUAAAAGCUUUUCCUAUAGCCAAAUACAGUGAUAGGAGAUCAACGAAACCUUUUCAAUUAGUCCAUACAGAUGUUGCUGGUCCAUUUAGCCCAAGUCAGGGAGGCCAUAAAUGGAUUAUGGUAAUUAUUGAUGAUUAUAGCAGAUUUACAUACACAUAUUUACUUAAGUCAAAGGCUCAGGUGUAUGAUAAAAUGAAGGACUNGCUGAACAUGAUUUCUACCCAAUUUGGUUGUACAGUGCAGAAGGUACAAUCUGAUAGAGGAGAAAUGAUGUCUAAGGCUAUAGCAGAUCUGUUUAGAACACGAGGCAUUAUACAUAGAAAGACCAAUCCGUAUUGUUCAGCUGAAAAUGGUGUAGCUGAACGACGAAUUGGAUUAAUUCAAGAAAUGUACAAGGCNAUNUUAUCUGAUGCUAAAAUGCCACAUUAUUUCUGGGGAGAAGCAGUAGCUACUAGUACUUAUGUUUUGAACCGAAUAUAUUCUUCUACUGUUGGUAACACUCCAUAUUUUAUGUUAUAUGGUAAAGAACCUGACGUAAAGCACAUGAGGAUCUUUGGCUCAUAUGCUCAUGUACUAAUACCCAGGGCACAAAGAAGAAAGAGAGACAAAAUUUCACAGAGAUUACGUUUUGUUGGGUAUGAAGAAAAUACAAAGGGGUAUCAUUUCUCUCUGAGUUAUGGUAAAGUAGUGGUGUCAAGGAGUGCAAACUUUGAGAUUCACUCAGAUUGGGCUAAUAUACAUAUUAAUAGUGAUGUUUUCUAUUACAUAUGGGGAAAAGAAGGGACUGAUGCUAACGUUACAGGUAGGAAUGUGCCUGAAUACAAAAGAAAGUGGGAAGAUUAUCGCAGUUCCACAUCUUUUUCCAGUGCCACAUCUCCCUCCUCUAGUAGCACAGAGACUGAGCCCAGCUCAGAAGAUGAACCUUCUGUUUCUUCUCAAGCUCAGCCCACUACUGUAGAUAAGGAAGAGUUAGUGCCAAGGAGAUCUGAACGAACAACUAAAGGUAUUCCUCCAGAAAGAUUUCAAAUUGGUCAAGUAAGUAUUGUAGAUAGUCAGGAGCAAUGGUCUGAGCCAAAUAAUUAUAAAGAAGUAAUGACCAGACCAGAAAAAGAAAAACAAGAAUGGAUACAAGCUAUGUAAAAGGAAUUUGAUUCUCUAUUGAACAGUUUGUAGAAAUGCUUGGUCUAUUUACAAUGUAAAGAAUUGUGAUCUUAUGUUCCUAAAGAAGGGAUGUCAAGUAUUGAAAGAGUUAAGUCAGGAACAAAGAGUCACAAUGAGUCAGCAUUUCUUGACUAAGAGAUUUAUGAUGUUGUUUACAUAACUCUAGCUGACAGUUGA
rnacentral:lncRNA from 1 species